CGCCCCGUUAGCGGGGAGCGGGUCAGGUGCCCCCCGAAGCGGAGAGAAGGAGCCUCCGUAGGCCUUUGGGCCCAGGGCCCCCCUGUAAGUCGGGGUCAGUGCCCUGGUGUCCCAGGCCCUUUGUGGUCCAGGCAGCGGCCGGAGCCCCCUGUAAGCAGGGCGGCAGCCUCUUUGGCCGCUGCUUCGCGUGCCCAGCUGCCUUUGCCCAGAGGGCCCGGCUCCCCGCAGCGGGUGGGACUGCGCCGUGCGUCGCCGUGAAGCCGUCGGAGAAGAGAGCGGAAGAGGCGUCGCGCGGGACGGCAGCGCCGGCGCGGGAAGACGCCGCGGAGCCCUCCGAGAAGAAAGCAGAGCCGUGGAGCGGGACGGCGAGGCAAGAGCGAGGAAGAAGAGCGUCGGCUUCGCGCUCAAGAGGGGGCGGGAGAAAGGCCCUCUGGGCAAAGGCCCCUCCCUUGGCAUCCCCGGGGCAGGGAUCCCAAAGAGUCCGGCGGGCAGCUUCCGGCUGCGCCGGCCGGCUUGGCGCUGGGCGGACCUCCCUGUAAGCAGGGCUGGGUCCUUUGCUUUGCUUGGCGUUGGCCUUUUGCCAUCGCGCUCCUGUGGCUGCCCGGAGAGAGGGGCAACCGCCCUGUAAGGAGGGCGAGAGUGCCCGCCUCCGCGCCCGAGGGGGGACACGGAGCUCUCCCGACCCCCGGCCCGCCCGCCCCGUAAGCGGGGCAGGGCUUUUUCCCUUGGCACCUUUGGUGCCUGCUGGCGGCCCCUGGCCAGAGUGACCCCCCGUAGUCGGGGUGUGUCACGGCCUGUGUCCCUUGCCCCUCAGCACGCCGAGGCCCUUCUGGCCCGCGCGCAGCCCGGGGCCACUAACGGGCUUCUCUCCGUCCUCGGGAACAGGGGGCGAGCCCGAGGCUCUCCUCCCCUGCUCGGCGGCAGGGCCGGCUCCCCACGGCUUGGCGCACAGAGCUUGCUCCCUCUUCUGGGACGUUCCCCCUUUGUGUCCUUGUCCCGUCGGUGUGAGUGAGCGAGCGAGCGAGCUGGUCCCUCCUGUAGCCCCCGUAGAGAUGUAGGCAGCGUAGCUUAGACUUCCCAGGAGGGAAAGAGGGGCUCUGUGUGCCAAC